rnacentral:rRNA from 1 species
UACAGAGGUCUCAAGCGUUGUUCGGAUUCAUUGGGCGUAAAGGGUGCGUAGGCGGCGCGGUAAGUCGGGUGUGAAAUCUCGGGGCUUAACUCCGAAACUGCAUUCGAUACUGCCGUGCUUGAGGACUGGAGAGGAGACUGGAAUUUACGGUGUAGCGGUGAAAUGCGUAGAUAUGACAUAGAACACCGAUAGCGAAGGCAGCUUACUACAGGAUGAUUGACGCUGAGGCACGAAAGCGUGGGGAGCAAACAGG